rnacentral:tRNA from 1 species
GCUGGUGUGGCGGAAUUGGCAGACGCGCGGGACUCAAAAUUCCGUAUCCUAUGGAUGUGUAGGUUCAACCCCGACCACCAGUACCU